rnacentral:rRNA from 1 species
AUACAGAGGGUGCGAGCGUUAAUCGGAAUUACUGGGCGUAAAGCGCGCGUAGGCGGCUUGGUCAGUCGGAUGUGAAAGCCCUGGGCUCAACCUGGGAAUUGCACUCGAUACUGCAGAGCUAGAGUAUGGUAGAGGGAAGUGGAAUUUCCGGUGUAGCGGUGAAAUGCGUAGAUAUCGGAAGGAACACCAGUGGCGAAGGCGGCUUCCUGGCUUAAGACUGACACUGAGGCGCGAAGGCGUGGGGAGCAAACAGGAUUAGAUACCCCGGUAGUCC